CGUGAUCUGCAAAGGGAGAGUCUCGGGGUUACACCCCCAGGUUUGUGGUCGCACCCCAAAGUGCUUCAGGGGUGCAGGAAGCAGGGAGGUUUGCUCUGAAGCAGGUCGGCACUGCUGCCGGCAGAAAACUGCCUCCAGCCGCCAACCCCUAUUUCCAUUUCACAGAAUAUCCAAACCCUGACACACAGCAGGUGAACCAGUGACAGGAGGGGCAUGAAAACGGAUAAAACACCCAGAAAAACAUGGGGACCAGAGAGUCCCGGUGCCUGGCGUCGCUCAUUGGGACGGCAUGGGGCAGUGCAGCCGCGAGUGGGGAAAAAGAAACAAAACCUGGUCUCCCUCAAAACACUGCCUGGACUUUCCGGAUGAGAGACCAGGGGGGUGAAGUGUCACCGACUGUUUUUUCUUGGAUGCGGCAGUGGCGUCGGCUCAUGCUUUGCCAAUGGCAAAAAAAAAAUGCCGGAGAAAGGGGAAGCACCUGCCGCCUGAUCUCCCCAUUACAGCUUCCUGGAGCAAGAGCCUGGUGGGGGAAAAAGCCAUCAGAAAAAAAGCAUGGAGCUUAUUUUGGUGUUAAUUAGGGCUGCCAGAGGCUGUAGCCAUCAACAUCAACCGCUCGGAGUGAAAGGUGCAAGGUGGAUGCCCCCAAAAAAGUCCCACCUGAAGGUAGCCGGAGUUAUUUCAGCCCUUCACCUCUGAGGCCAGGAUGGGAACAGGAGAUGUCCAAGGCCGGUGGUUCUCCAGGCACGCUCGUUUCCCCAGGUAAUAAAAAAGGAUCCGGGGAAGAGUUUUAUGCCUUCUCAGAAAAAACCACAGCAACCUGAGCUUGUGAUGAAGAAGAAACCUCCCCAUGCACUGCCAUCACAGCUUGCAACAAGACCCUCCCCAUGGGCAGAAAGCUCCGCAGCCAGCUGCUCUUACCUGUUGCUUCGAUGUACUCAAUGCAUCUCUCAAUAAAGAUGGGGAUGGGUUUCUCUGGA